rnacentral:lncRNA from 1 species
AUGGCCUGGGGCGAUGUGGUAUUUGACCCCAGACAGGGCUGCGCUCCAGCCCGCAGCGAGCACGGGCAGCAACAUCCUCCCAGAGCUCAAGCUCCAUGGAAAGGGAGGGACAGUGCUCGUGGCUGCUGGAGCACAGACCAACUCACAGACCUGUGCCCGGGCUACAAAGCAGCACAGGAGGAUCCCUGGGAGCUACAGCAGGGCAGCAAGGUGGGAUUACCUUGCCAACUGCCGGGCUCUCCUCUGCUGCCAGCUGAGGUGUCACAGACACCCCUCUCCCAGGGCAGGCACAUGCUGCUUCCCAAUACUCCCCAGCACUCUGGUGCCGGGCACUCCUCUCCAGCUCAAGAUGAGUUUGUCCCAUCAGAGUCUACAAGGCCUUGGCUGCUGCUCCUCCCACACCGUGUCCUCUCCAUGCUGGGCUUCAGCAGCUGGAGCCAUUCUGCAUCUUCCCUGUGCUUCGUUCCUCCCCGGAGGGCAGGUCUGGGCCCAAGCCAAGCACCAGCUCAGACAGGACCUGCCAUGGGACUGCAAACAGGACCCAGAGCUCCCCUGCCAUGGCCAAGUGCCUUUCCCUCUGCUCCUACAGCACAGGGACAACUUGCUGAUACAUGCAGCUGGAAAGGAGGACCUUUGAUUUAGCCAAACUGCUCAGAAAUCACUAAACAGUUUGCUAGAAUUUGGAGCAGACCCUUCAAACACAGUUUCUCCAGGGAAGCAAGAACGUGCAGAAUGGCUUGGAACCUGCUGACAGCUUUCCACAUCUGCCUGGCACUUCUGUAACCCAGCUUCCAGUAGGAGGGAGACAGGCAGAGACACAGUGCUCCUCCCACAGUGGGGUAAUGGGGGUUCACACAGGACCAAAGGAGAAGGGACACAUUUGGCAAAGGCUGGCAUCGAGGCUCACUUUUGGAAAGGGAAGACAGCUUACAAUGUCAAAUCCACUCCCAUGUCUGUGCAGAUCACAAUGAACAGCACUGAGUUUGAGUCAGGUGGGUUUGUUUUCCAGUUUACAGAAUGCAGUCUUGCCCUUUUUUUUUUAAAAAAAACCCAUAGAAACAACAACAAAAAACCCCCCCUCAUAUAAAUAUCAUAUAUACAAUUUAGGCAAAAAAAAAAAAAAAAAGAAAAAUUCCAGAAAACAUCUUCCCUCUGGGUCAAGAGUUAGGAGUGACAGCAGAGAGGACAAAGCUUUGCAUUAAGGGCAACAAUUGUUGUGUAACAAUGGUAACAGGUUGAGGUUUGGGAGCAACCAGAAAUGCCUGUGAGCACAGUAGAGGGGAGAGGAAAACUCAGGCAGCACGAGAACAGCUUUUGGGCAGAGGGGAGGCAGCAGGAGGGCAGAGGACAGAUGAUAUGGCCAUGAACUUAGAAGGCCCACAGCAGUAUUCAAGUAAUGGGAGGGUUAAAACCCUAAUGAGGUGUUUGUUUUAAAAGAACACGCUGGCUUUGGGGGUAGAGGCGAGCUUGGCAGCUCAUGGAGGAGCUCUGCCCCACCUCACCACAGAACAGGGCUCUGUGUGCCCCAUGGCAGGUGAGGAGUGCAGGUCUCAGUGCUGCCCAUCCCUUGGGAGGAUUUACCCCUGUGUGCUCCUUUUUGGGAAGCACCAGCUGAACUGAGCCCGGGGGGGGGGGUUUGUCCUGAAGCAGCUUUGUGAGGGACCUGCCAGCAUGGUGGAGUUCCAGUUUGCAGAAAUAAAAGGCCAAACAAAGGGACCUUGGCA